rnacentral:tRNA from 1 species
UAAGAGGUAGUAUAGUGGUAGUACGAGAAGUUUUGAGCUUCUUGGUUUAGGUUCAACUCCUGGACUCUUAG